UAGGGAAUAUUGCACAAUGGGGAACCGUAGCAUGCAGCGACGCCGCGUGAAGGAAGAAGUAUCUCGGUAUGUAAACUUCUAUCAGCAGGGAAGACAAUGACGGUACCUGACUAAGAAGCCCGGCUAACUACGUGCCAGCCAGCCGCGGUGAAUAACGUAGGGGCAAGCGGGUUAAUUCCGGAUUUACUGGGUGUAAAGGGAGCGUAGACGGAUCUGCAAGUCUGGAGUGAAAGCCCGGGGCUCAACCCGGACGUGCUUUGGAAACUGUGGAUCUAGAGUGCCGGAGAGGUAAGCGGAAUUCCUAGUGUAGCGGUGAAAUGCGUAGAUAUUAGGAGGAACACCAGUGGCGAAGGCGGCUUUACUUGGACGGUAACUGACGUUGAGGCUCGAAAGCGUGGGGAGCAAACA
rnacentral:rRNA from 1 species